CCGAAACAAACAAAAAGGCUCGCCGCUCGUAUCCUUGUGAGCGAGCGGUGAAUCCUUCUGGCCGACUCAACUUGAAAUUAUGGUUCGAGUCUGGCGUCCAAGUCUUCCUUGCUCCGUUCGCGGAGUGAGGGAGCACCGCAAACAAAAAUUUUGUAAACAAGAAAAAUUUUGAAAUGAAGCAAUAAACAAAGACAAAAAAGACGAAAAUAAAAACCUCGAGUGGUGGAUCACUCGGCUCGUGGGUCGAUGAAGAACGCAGCUAACUGCGUGCAGACGUGUGAACUGCAGGACACAUGAACACCGACAUUUUGAACGCACAUGGCGGCCUGAAAUAAAUUUCAGGCCAUGUCUGGCUGAGGGUCGGAAACUAAACUAAAAGAAAGAUUGCUCAAGUGACGGGUCUUUGAGGACCUGGUUGGGGAACUUGUAGCGCAUCAACAGUUUUCUCGGUUGUGUGCCAUAGCAUGAGAUUUUUCAAGCUAGAAGGCCGGCCAAAGAUGGUUGAUUGUGCGUACAUGAGCUAAAAAUUCUUUUACUCAAAGUUGCGACCUCAGAGCAGGCAAGAUUACCCGCUAAAUUUAAGCAUAUCAAUAAGCGGAGGACUUGGUCAUUUAGAGGAAGUAAAAGUCCGUAACAAGGUUUCCGUAGGUGAACCUGCGGAAGGAUCAUUCAUAAUCAAGUGUUUUUAUGGCACUUUUCAAAAAUCCAUAUCCACCUUGUGUGCAAUGUCAUCUCUCUGGGGGCUGUCGGCUGUCAAAAGCCGUGUGGUCACCUUUGGGAUUUAUAUCUACUCAGAACUUUAGUGAUUUUGUCUGAAACAUAUUAUGAAUACUUAAUUCAAAAUA
rnacentral:misc_RNA from 1 species